ACUCCUACGGGAGGCAGCAGUGGGAAUAUUGGACAAUGGGGCACCCGUAGCAUCCAGCCAUGCCGCGUGUAUGAAGAAGGCCCUCGGGUUGUAAAGUACUUUCAGUGGUGAGGAAGGUUGCGUGGUUAAUACCCACGUAAUUUGACGUUAGCCACAGAAGAAGCACCGGCUAACUCCGUGCCAGCAGCCGCGGUAAUACGGAGGGUGCAAGCGUUAAUCGGAAUUACUGGGCG
rnacentral:rRNA from 1 species